CUCACUUGCUCGGGCUAUCAGGCCAUCUGCCCUCUCUCCGCAUGGGCUCCAUUAAGUAGCCUGAGCUGAAAGAGCAAAGUGUACAAUGGACUGUAGCCGAGCUACUUUGUGGUGGGAUAAUAAUUAUUGCUUCACAGUGGUGCCUUUAUGCAAACAUGCUGAGUGUGCAAACACAAAAGAGGGAGAAGGAAGAACUUCAGAUACAAGCCCCGCUCUUUCCCCCUACCUGGCUCCUGCCUAGGCCAGAUGUAGAGCCAAGAUUUCAUUGAUUUCAAAGAGUGACAUUCUAUAUGGUCUGUAUUUGAUAUGACAAACAUUUGCCGGUUAAAGGUACUGUUGUUAUUUUA